rnacentral:rRNA from 1 species
ACUGCUCAGUAACACGUAGUUAACCUAACCUAUGGACGGGGAUAACCUCGGGAAACUGAGAAUAAUCCCCGAUAGACCACUAUGCCUGGAAUGGUUUGUGGUUGAAAUGAUUUAUCGCCGUAGGAUGGGACUGCGGCCUAUCAGCUAGUUGGUGAGGUAAUGGCCCACCAAGGCUAUAACAGGUACGGGCUCUGAGAGGAGGGGCCCGGAGAUGGGUACUGAGACACGGACCCAGGCCCUAUGGGGCGCAGCAGGCGAGAAACCUUUGCAAUGUGCGAAAGCACAACAAGGUUAAUCCGAGUGUCUUCUGCUAAAGAAGUCUUUUGUUAGUCAUAGAACCACUGAUGAAUAAGGGGUGGGCAAGUUCUGGUGUCAGCCGCCGCGGUAAAACCAGCACCUCGAGUGGUCAGGAGGUUUAUUGGGCCUAAAGCAUCCGUAGCCGGUUGUUUAAGUUUUCGGUUAAAUCCAUGCGCUUAACGUAUGGGCUGCCGAAAAUACUGGACAGCUAGGGAGUGGGAGAGGUACACGGUACUCAAUAGGAAGGGGUAAAAUCCUUUGAUCUGUUGAUGACCACCUGUGGCGAAGGCGGUGUACCAGAACACGUUCGACGGUGAGGGAUGAAAGCUGGGGGAGCAAACCGGAUUAGAUACCCGGGUAGUCCCAGCUGUAAACGAUGCAAACUCGGUGAUGCAUUGGCUUGUGGCCAAUGCAGUGCCGCAGGGAAGCCGUUAAGUUUGCCGCCUGGGAAGUACGUACGCAAGUAUGAAACUUAAAGGAAUUGGCGGGGGAGCAC